rnacentral:lncRNA from 1 species
CAUAUGGAUGUUCCCAGGCUAGGGGUCAAAUCAGAGCUGCAGCUGCUGGCUUAUGCCACAGCUGCAGCAACCCCAGAUCUGAGCUGCAUCUGUGACUUACAUCAUAGCUCAGGGCAACACAGGAUCUUUAACCCACUGAGAGACACCAGGGAAUGAACCCCCAUCCUCAAGGAUACUAGUCGGGUUCAUCAUGGCUGAGCCACAGUGUGAACUUCCCUCAUGGUCACUUUUUAAUACUUCCUGAUGGCUGUACAUUUUUCCUCAUUUCAACAAGCCUUGGGGUCACCUAGUGACAGGAAGGCCUGUGAUAGGGAGAUGAUGGGAGGUGAGGCCCUUCAAAUAUUCCCCACCCAAAUGGAAAAAUGACAUCCCCAACUCUGGCUUUAAUCACAAAACCCGUCACCUUGGGGGAACACCUCUCGAAUGUCCAGGUGCCUGCCCAGUUUGUGUGGGAUCCAUGGGAUGGGGGAAGGAGAGUUAUUUGAUGAAAGAGAGGUUUACGCUUUUCUUGUUCAGGAAAGGAUACCCUAAACAUUUUUUGACAGCCAGCUCAUGCCACACAACAGGGCAAAUGAUAUUUUGACUCAGCAACUCAGAACGAUGGGUACCUGUCCACCAAUUUCACAUUGCCUUUGAGCCCAGAUGGAGUGGCUAGUAGCAGACAGCUAUCCUGAGUACCUGGACCACUCCUUGGUACUGAUGUACAGCCAUCAUGAGCCCUCCUUCAUCACGCCUGUCUGUGUUCAUCUCUUUACACCUCAUUUUCCCAACUUGGUCAUAAAUGCCUUCUGACCAAGAGCCAUGUCUGCUGGUUCCUUUUCUACCCCUGACAUCAACCCAACACCAGGUCCAUAAUCAGAGUUGGGAAAGAGGCUGAUGGACAGAUACGUCUCCAUGCCAAGGAAAACACUUUUUUUUCCCCACUGUAAGUUGAAGGGGCCCAUUUGUCUGUUAGGGCAUGUUGCUUGCUUGGUUUUUAUUACCCGCAUGCCUGUACAGGCCACCAGCACGUUAUAUAAUGUGCUGAAAUCAACUCAGUUAAUAUUGCCAAAUGGCUUGGCUUUUAAAACCAGGCUUCUCCUACAAAGACAAAGCAGCCCUGUCCUGACUCUCUGAAGCCUUUGGUUUUGCAUAGAAAAAUACUUACACCUCAUGACCAUUAUUGAGAAUCUAAUUUUAGCGGCUGGUCCUUACAGCAAUUUUAAAAUGGGAGGGGGGAUGGAUUGUGACCUUAGGAUUAGCAAACUAGUAUAUAUAGACUGGAUAAAUAGCAAGGUCCUAUUGUUCAGCACAGGGAACUAUAUUAUAUUCUAUGAUAAAACAUAAUGGAAAAAAUAUGAAAAAACAUACAUGCAUAACUGAAUCACUUUGCUCACAGUAGAAAUUAAUACAACAUUGCAAAUCAACUAUACUUCAAUAUAAUAAUUUUUUAAAAGAAUUGGAGGAGUUCCCAUCAUGGUGCAGUGGAAAUGAAUCCAACUAGUAACCAUGAGGUUGCAGGUUUGAUCCCUGGCUCGCUGAGUGGGUUAAGGAUCUGGCGUUGCCGUGAGCUGUGCUGUAAGUCACAGACUUAGCCUGGAGCCUGCACUGCUGCAUUCUCCUAGCCUGGGAACCUCCAUAUGCCUAUUCUGUCUGGCAUACUGGUAAAAACAUGUAAAAAGCUGACAUGAUGGUUUUGAAAUGGGUGGAAGGAGCUGUUACUAGUGGUGAGAAUGGCUGUUUGCUGAUCUUGUUAGUGACUCACCUGCCCAUUCUAAUCCAUAGAUAACGUAGAAGUGUCCAUUUUUGAGGAUAUAAUAUGUGCUAAGAGCUAUGCUGCACUCUCUACCUUUAAUCUCAUUUAAUUUUCACAACAUCCCAUGCCCUAGGAUCUCCAUAUAGUGUAGAUAACAUGCAUUACACCUCUUACAUGGAUGGGGGGGGGUGUCAGAAAGGUUCCAAGAGUUCCCCCAAGGUCAUGGCAACGAGCAAGUAGCAGAGCUGGAGUUCAGCAUCAGGGUAUGCCAUCUAAAUUUUUCACCAUUGUGUAAUGCUGGGAAAACCAAAUUGUGGAGGAGGGCAACAGGGCAGAACAGCAGGGUGGGAUGUGAGAAUACCUGGAAGAUGGCAGGAGAGAUGCUGAAAAUAGCAUAUCAUAAUAAUGUGAUUCAAGCCCCAAAGGGGUGGGACCACCACGUCUGCAUUGGUGAAGAACAGAUGGAGAAGUGGCAGGUUAGACCCUAUGGGCCCCCGGCAAAUAUUAAUUGAUGAUGAUGCCUUCAGAAGAGCAAACAAAAAUUUGAAGAGACAAAAAAAAAGAGCACAUGUUAUGGGUGCUUGGGGAAAGACAGGGGCCGGCCAGGGGAGAGAGGCUGACGGAAUUGAUUUGGGUUAUGGCUGCCACAAAAGGACAUCAGAGGAAUACUCUUUCUUAAGCGUUCAAGUUUUUGCAGCGGAAACAUCCAUUCUGUCCUCUAAAAAGCUGCACUUGAGGAUGGAGGCAGGCUUUCCCACAUUCUCGUCAAUCUUAGAAAAAUUGAACUGCCUUAGAGACAAAAAUAUUGCCCCCACUCAUUUUGUUUAGGUCCUAAUGCUGUUCUCUUACCUAAUGAUAUUUACACGGGCCACUUGUCAAAUUGAAGCAGGAGGGAAAAAUAAAAUUUUAAGGGAGUUGGAGGAAACGUAAGUAGAUUCCUGGCUUCCAGCUCCUAAUACACAAAUAACGAAAUGCAUAUUCUAUGGUCUCCAAAGAGCAGAAAUAACCCCAAAGUCACAGACAGUGUGUGGUGGGACAAGAGAUGCUUCUAGCUAGUUCAAUUGCUGCACAAGUUCAUCAAUCAGGACAUUGGUAUCGAGUACCUACCAUGAACCAGUGCACUCUGGUUGGUUCCUAAACAGAAAUAGAACAGGUAUAAUAGACCUGAGUCUUUGGGCCACACCCCACACUUGAUUAGAACUGAUUUUCUACCAUCUGGCAUAGGUCUGGACCCCCGGAGAUGGUAGCUGGUGGGUCGUGUGGGGCAUCUUCCAAUGUCAAGUUGAGGUCUUCUGAUAGACAUGUUGUUGUGGUUUGCCCAGUGUCCAUCCCCUGCCUGCUGUUGACAGCCUUGUUAUUUUGGAGGAAAAGAUCACCCCAAAUUUCACAGUUUUAGAUGAGUCGCCUCUUUUUCUUUAGCUCCAAGGUAAGAAAACAAUCUUGGCAUGGUGCUUCACCAUAUUCCACUCCUCAGCAAUUGACCCAAACUAGUCCAGCGUGAAUGAAUCAGGUGGCUACCCAGAGGAAAACAGAUUUGCAGUCAUGAACUACUAGAUUGCGGACAAUGCUGAGUUCCUGGAUUCAUGCAUUCUUGAAGUGAGUACCACCCCGGGACUUUUUGUAGGAACCGAUAUAUGUCCUACAGGGCUUAAGCUAGUUUGAGUGGGUUCCGGUCACUUGCAUUGAAAGGAUCCCUGAUUGGUAGAACGCUUAUGUGACAUUCUCUGGCAAGACCAAUAAGCAAAGUCAAGGGUCAUGAAUAAAGCAGGUGGACAAAGAUACAAGUUGCAGCAACACUAAGAACCUAGUAGGUUGUUGCAGGUACUGCUAUAGUGACUAGAAUAUUAUCACCAUCGAAGCAGCAGCCUAAUUACUCUAGGUGACUCCCAAAUACCUUCAUGGAAUUCAUAUAUAUAUGAAUUCAUAUAUAUAUGAAUUCAUAUAUAUAUAUAUACCCACACACAUAUAUGUAGGUAUGUGUGUGUGUAUGUAUGUACACAUAUAUUUAUACAUUUUUUUUUUUACCUGGAGGAAGGGAAAGGGAUGAAGAAUCUUGCAUUGGCCAAACAAUACUUGGAAAUGCCUAAGCUUUUCUUUAUGGAAGUUUUUAAACUCAGUCACUUUUGAUUUAGUAUAGAAUUAUAAUCAACCAGAGGCUACAGGCAUUUUAAGCCACUGGAGUUUAUUUUGGGAGUUUUGCAAGACAGCAAUCUCCAUUUCUUAAACAUGUGCUUUAGUCAGACAAAAUACUAUUUCUCAGUAGAGCACAGCCUUAAAGAAAAUCAAUGUAAAUGUUAUCCUGCUUCUCACCUCUUUUCCCCUAGAAAACUAAACACUCCGAAGCACAGGCACAGCAAACUCUAUUUCUAAAGGUUUUGUAAGUUAAGCAAUCCGAGGAAGUUACAUGAAAAAAAAAAUCCCCUUUGAGAUAUGAAGGUGUUCAUAUCUGAACACAACUACAUUGAUAGCAGAAGGGAAUACAGUACAAUAUUUGAUGAAGAGAAGUAAUUAUCAUUUAUGAAUGAGGAAGCUCAGUGUUUUCCUAAAUUACUCAAAUUAAACCUCAAAUAAAUAUUUGAAGUUCUCCAUCUAAUUCGGCUACAAUGAAAAAUUGAAUCUCAUUACCUUUGGAUUUACAUCAGAUCUAAUUUCAAAGAUCAUAUUUAUUUCAGAAAGGAUGAAAAAGCAUUUUUCACCGGGAAGAAAAUGGUUUGAAGUUUCAAUAGAAAACAAUAUUCAAUUGCAUAGUAUAAAGGAGGUACCACUUGAACACUUCUCUCUCUUUUUUUUUUCCCCAAAGAGAAUCUCUAAGAAAAAGUCAUGGAUAUUUCACUCAGUUCAGAUAUAAAAAUACACCCUGUCACUACCAGUUGUUUGAUUAAAUGUCUAUAAUAACAGUACCUAUUGAUACUGCAUGGCUUACUUUUCACUGAUCUAUAAUAAAAAUUAGAGGAUAGUGUUCCCUUUACAAAAUAAUUCCCCUCUCUGCCAAAAUACACAGAAUCUUAUUUAAUAAUGAGUUCCCCAGUGUAUUCCACCUAUAAUUUCAUUCUAUUUUCACAUUUUCUAGAUACAACAAUUGCCUCAAGCAAAGGAAACUUGUCAGUUUACAUGCACAUGCAGUCAAAACGCAGAUCCGUAUAGGUAAGUCUGGACAGCUCUUGAAGAGCUUAUGCGAUGUAUUUAUCUAAAGAAUAGCCUAUCGGUUGCGACUGUCGCCAUGGCCCAUCUCCUCCUACGGCCCCACCACCACGUGGAGACGUGCCCUUCGAUUUCAAGGAGGGAAAACAAAGGAACAAAUUAAAUGGGACACCUCAACAAAGAUAUCAAAGACACGUUAUUUUUCUUUGCUAUAAGAUGUAGAGAGAAGAUUCACGAUUAUUGAACUACAUUUCCAAAGUGAGCGAUAGUCCUUUCGCUUAAUGAAUACUUCCUGAGUACCAGCUCUAAGCUGGACACAAUCACAGUCUUUUGCAAGGAUAUUCUACCUGAAGGGAGACAGAAGAAGGGAAGGGGGAGACGGAGAAGAAGAAGAAAAAUGCAAGAAAAAAAUAUAUGUAGAGUGCAUAUCAUUCCAUAUCCCAUUCUCAGAGCUUUGUAAUGGAGGCGUUGAUCUCUUAGGGGCUCUGAGAAAUCUUGCAGUAAAAGAAUCAUAUUUAAUCCAGCAGUUUCCAAAUAUAUUUAAUUAUGUCCCUCUAUUUUUUUGUUUGUUUAAAUAAAACUCAUCCAUAUCCACAGGGACAAAGAUUUUCCGAAGUAUCAGUCAUCUAAAAGUCACAUUAUCCUCUCCAUAGUCAAAAAGAGUCUGCCUGAUUUAGUACCAAAUCUUUCCAUGCAUCUUU